CCUACGGGGUGCAGCAGUGAGGAAUAUUGGUCAAUGGCCGAGAGGCUGAACCAGCCAAGUCGCGUGAGUGAAGACGGCCCUACGUGUUGUAAACCUCUUUUGUCGGGGAGCAAAGAGCGUCACGUGUGACGCAUUGAGAGUACCCGAAGAAAAAGCAUCGGCUAACUCCGUGCCAGCAGCCGCGGUAAUACGGAGGAUGCGAGCGUUAUCCGGAGUUAUUGGGUUUAAAGGGUGCGCAGGCGGCGGUGCAAGGCAGCGGUAAAGUUGCGGGGCUCACCCCCGUACUGCCGUUGAAACUGCAUCCCUUGAGUGCGCGAGAAGUAUGCGGAAUGCGUGGUGUAGCGGUGAAAUGCAUAGAUAUCACGCAGAACUCCGAUGGCGAAGGCAGCAUACCGGCGCGCAACUGACGCUCAUGCACGAAAGCGUGGGUAUCGAACAGGAUUAGAUACCCGAGUAGUC
rnacentral:rRNA from 1 species